CAGCAGGAGCCAGAGAGGAACCCGGCCUUCCCUGUCUGAUGCCUCUCCCAUCCCAGUGACGGGGUCUGGGGACGCACCUCCCCGCAGCCCCAGGUCUCUUGCUGUCUCCUGUCGCUGUGGUCUGUCCUCAACUUCUACGGCAUCUUCCUCCCAAUAGUUAGACAUAUUUAAUCACCCCCGGUGGCUCAGACAGUAAAGAAGUCACCUGCGAUGCAAGAGACCUGGGUUCGAUCUCUGAGUCAGGAAGAUUCCCUGGAGGAGGGCAUGGCUACCCACUCCAGUACUCUUGCCUGGGGACUUCCAUGGACAGAGGAGCCUGGCAGGCUACAGCCCCGGGUCACAAAGAGUCAGACACGACUGAGCAACUGAGGACUCGCAACCAUCCAGCAGAGAUUCAGGCUUUGAGGAAAGGAAACUAUCAUGGUUUGAGCCAAACUGUCCCAAAAUGCAAGGUGGCAUCCUCAGUGAACGCCAAGGACAACGCUGCUCUUUAAACAGCAUGGUGGACUGAACCUGACAACAGCCACUGUGAAGCCUGACUGAUUGGAUGUGAGUUAAAACCAAAUUAGGUUGGCUGCUUUUGUUGUUCUUGGCACUAAUCCAUUCCAGAACUCUGAUGGUCAAAAGGAAGAUCAGCAACUUAUCUUGCUUGCUCCACUUAAAUUAAGCAAAGGAGAGCUUGCUGGAUGGUUUGGACAGCUUGUAACUCAAGAAGACACAGAGGGAGGUAACAGGCUUUCCUUACAUAUUUUGGAUAUUGAUUCAUUAUCAGACAGAGGACAUGAAAACCUUUUUAGCUCUUUGUGCGGCGAACACGCGCAGAGUGAAGAUGGUCCUCCGGCGGUUCGCCAGUCGUCUCCUGUGGAACCUUACCCAAACCAGGGGGAGGCUGCAGCCUGCGCCGUCUUUGCACAGCUGCCGGCUUGCAGGCUCCUGAUUCUCGAAGGAGGGUCCGAGGCACCACGAGGGAGUUAAAACGUCCACCGGUGUGUUAUUCUUAAAAGAAGGCUUGAAAGCUUUGGAAGCCCAGACAGGGCAGUACCCCUUCACAGAGAUUCCAGGCUAACCUGGUGACUGAAGGCCUAAGGUUUAGAAUUCUCUUGGAGAAGCACCUUUGGGGUGGCUGGGAUGUCCAGGUGAUGGUUCCUGCCACUUCAGCAACAGGCUGUGGCAAGAAGUGGAGAGCAACAAGCAUGCCUUCUACCUGGGUACUGUGUUUUAGGAUUUUGCUGAUGCAGAGGAUGUCCUACCUGGUGUUGGUCAGAUCCUUGGAACUUCACAUGUUUCCUGCAUGAACCUGUGUGAGCAGCUGUCAAACUCCAGUGGAGAGGGGGUGGGCUGCUUAGAAAUUUGGGGACCAAAAUCAAUUAGGUGACCUUUAUUAGAAAGAUUGCAAUAAAAUGUUUUAAAGCAAAUAAAAAUAGGUGGGUCUGAGUAAAAACAAGAGGGUACAGAAAGGUUUAGGGAUGUGAAAGUGAAUGAGCAUCAGUUGACAUCUAGCUGCACCUCUUUCCAGCUACAUUACAAAAAACUAGAAUUAGGUUUGUCAUAUAUUGACACCAAUGUUGAGGAUUUCUAGGUGGAGUACCAUAAUAUUUUUAAUCUUUGAGGUUUUAAUUAUACUAUUAACACAAUCAUCCAGUGUUCUUUUUGAUGAAUUGGUGAAAACAUAGUUUGGAUAUAUUUCUAGAAGAAGAAUAAUUCUGGUGGUUGUCAGGAGCUGGGAAUGAGGACGUGAAGAAGUAUUUAAUGGGUAUUUCACUUUUACAAGGUGAAAGGGUUCAUGGGGAUGGAUGGUGGUGGUAAUUGCUCGAUGUUAUGAACAGUUAUUACCACUGAACUGUAUGCCUAAAAGUGGUAAAGAUUUGGGGAGGGAUAAAUUGGAAGGUUGAAACUGAUACAUACAUACCGCUAAGUAUAAAAUAGAUAACUAAUAAAGACCUGUAUAGCACAGGAAACUCAGUCCUCAGUAAUAGUCUAUAAGAGAAGAGGAUCACAAAGUGUUUGUAUGUAUAACUGAUUCAGUUUACUGU
ensembl:lncRNA